UUUCCGUUGGUGAACCAGCGGAAGGAUCAUUACAGAGAUCGGGCCCCUCGGGGUAGACCUCCCACCCUGUGUUAUUUACGUUUGUUGCUUUGGCGGGCCGCCUCCGGGCUCUCGGCUUCGGCCGAGGUGUGCCCGCCAGAGAACCCACAACCCUGUGUUUAGUGUCGUCUGAGUAUUAUCAAAUAAGUUAAAACUUUCAACAACGGAUCUCUUGGUUCUG
rnacentral:misc_RNA from 1 species